rnacentral:antisense_RNA from 1 species
AUACAGGAAAGGCCCAAGCCAUCAUUGGGAGUAGACAAAAGUAUCUGUUUUCUUAAAUAUGAAGUAUAAAUAUCUGUACAUAGUGCAGCUAAGUAUUAGAGCGGCGGCAUGGUGCCUCCUGGUGGUCACCCAAAGUGCUUCAGUCAGGAGGUUGAGUUUUUCUCUGCUCUCAGCUCCAAGGAAGAGUGAGAGGCAAAGGAGGAGAAGGAGAAGGAGGGAGCUGGGGAGUGGAGAAGAAGG